GAAAGAAAAGAUUAUUUGGAAUUGUGAAGGCUGUAAAGAAAGUAGCUAAAGUAAUUAAGAAAGCAAUCAAGAAAGUGGUAAAGAAAGUAGUUAAUCGUAUCCUGCGUCAGACUCAGAAUUGGUGAAGUCACAAAAAAGAUUUAAAUGAAAUGGGUUAUGUUUAGCAGACAGAUAUUUUGAAUGAAGACCCGUGAUAUGCCCAGUUGUACAGAAUUGAAAAUCAGAAGAAACAAUGUCUACUAUGGAAAAAAAAUGUCUGUAACCAAAGAAAAGCAAUGCAUUUAGCUGGGUGAUAACCAGAUACAUUUUUGAUUUUCAAUUGACAAAUAGAAA